CAUCCAGAGUUUUAUCAUGGCUCAGGAUGAACGCUGGCGGCGUGCUUAACACAUGCAAGUCGAACGAUGAUCCGGUGCUUGCAUCGGGGAUUAGUGGCGAACGGGUGAGUAACACGUGAGUAACCUGCCCUUAACUCUGGGAUAAGCCUGGGAAACUGGGUCUAAUACCGGAUAUGACUCCUCAUCGCAUGGUGGGGGGUGGAAAGCUUUAUUGUGGUUUUGGAUGGACUCGCGGCCUAUCAGCUUGUUGGUGAGGUAAUGGCUCACCAAGGCGACGACGGGUAGCCGGCCUGAGAGGGUGACCGGCCACACUGGGACUGAGACACGGCCCAGACUCCUACGGGAGGCAGCAGUGGGGAAUAUUGCACAAUGGGCGCAAGCCUGAUGCAGCGACGCCGCGUGAGGGAUGACGGCCUUCGGGUUGUAAACCUCUUUCAGUAGGGAAGAAGCGAAAGUGACGGUACCUGCAGAAGAAGCGCCGGCUAACUACGUGCCAGCAGCCGCGGUAAUACGUAGGGCGCAAGCGUUAUCCGGAAUUAUUGGGCGUAAAGAGCUCGUAGGCGGUUUGUCGCGUCUGCCGUGAAAGUCCGGGGCUCAACUCCGGAUCUGCGGUGGGUACGGGCAGACUAGAGUGAUGUAGGGGAGACUGGAAUUCCUGGUGUAGCGGUGAAAUGCGCAGAUAUCAGGAGGAACACCGAUGGCGAAGGCAGGUCUCUGGGCAUUAACUGACGCUGAGGAGCGAAAGCAUGGGGAGCGAACAGGAUUAGAUACCCUGGUAGUCCAUGCCGUAAACGUUGGGCACUAGGUGUGGGGGACAUUCCACGUUUUCCGCGCCGUAGCUAACGCAUUAAGUGCCCCGCCUGGGGAGUACGGCCGCAAGGCUAAAACUCAAAGGAAUUGACGGGGGCCCGCACAAGCGGCGGAGCAUGCGGAUUAAUUCGAUGCAACGCGAAGAACCUUACCAAGGCUUGACAUGAACCGGAAAGACCUGGAAACAGGUCCCCCACUUGUGGCCGGUUUACAGGUGGUGCAUGGUUGUCGUCAGCUCGUGUCGUGAGAUGUUGGGUUAAGUCCCGCAACGAGCGCAACCCUCGUUCCAUGUUGCCAGCGCGUUAUGGCGGGGACUCAUGGGAGACUGCCGGGGUCAACUCGGAGGAAGGUGGGGACGACGUCAAAUCAUCAUGCCCCUUAUGUCUUGGGCUUCACGCAUGCUACAAUGGCCGGUACAAAGGGUUGCGAUACUGUGAGGUGGAGCUAAUCCC
rnacentral:rRNA from 1 species